ACUUGUGUUAUUGUAAUAAUUGAUGUUGUAUGUAUAUUGUAUGUACGCGUACUAGUGUGUAGCCGUGUAGCUACUUGGUUCGUACCAAUUUAUCGAUUUAUAUUUUUCAGUUUUUGUAACGCACUAACGCAGUACGUUUAUAACUGACCUAUUUCGAUGUCUUUAUCUUUCUCGUACGAAUCUCUAUAAUGUCUACGAAAAACGUUUGACAAGUAACAACAAUGGAAAACCAGUCGAUUGACAAUAACCAGGCCAUCGUGAGCACGCCAAGACAAGUUCUGCCUGGUUAUGUGGCACAGCAGCCUCCACCACACGCUAACCAAAUACACUUGCAGACAGACUUUACGUCUCCACCUCCAACUCACCCCCAUGGGUUUUGGCCACAACAAGCUUUUCCCAAUACUUGGCCAUCGCAAUUUCGUAUGCCCAGUCCUGCGCCACAGACCAAGACUACUGUCACAAACACUACGACGGGCAAUAAUAAUCCUCCCACAUUCAGUUCGACUAGUAACAGUACUAUAAGAUCACCUUUGCCACGCUGGAGGUCGUUCAACAACACUGCUCGUCAACGAACACCUUAUCAAUAUGCCAAUACUCCAAGAAACAAUUAUCCAAGACAGUUCUCUCAAAAUGCUAACGGGAAUUUCUUUGCCAAUUCUCCACAAAACCCACAAACACCAUCUUCAUCAUCAACACAAAACUGGCCACAAUUUACUCAAAGACCUCGUUUUAUACCAAGACAACAUAUGCGUAUGAACAGACCUCGUAGUUCCGUUCAAAAUCAAUCAAAUGGAACUAACCAGGAAACCAAUGCUGUGACAGAAUGCAAAACACGGAAGCGCAAAUUAAAAUCACAACAAUCUGGAGAACCACAACGUGCUCAAAAACCAUGGAACCGUGAGGAUGCUGUAAAAGCAAUUGCUGCUGAAAUGGAACUUCGAACACCUAAAAACAAUCAACAAAUUAUGAUCAGAUUUCCAGAUCAUGAAAUUACACGACAAAUUGUUCAGAACUUUCAUACUGACAUUAAAUCUGUACAUUUCCAUACACCAUGUAAUCCAAGAUAUUGUUAUGUGCAAGUACAACCAAAUGCAAAUAUUGAAAAUGUUGCAAACGCACUAAAUGAAACUGUUUUCCAACAUGAAAAAUUGCGAGUAGAAAUUAAAGAAAGUCAGUUUGAAGAAAAGGCAUUCCCAGAAUGCAUUGAUCCAUAUACAUUAUAUCUUGGAAAUCUGCCGACAAAUAUCACCUCUAAUGCUGUUAAAGAUGAAUUUCCAAAAGCCACUCGAGUUGACAUUGGGUUUGCUAAAAAAAUGAAAUACACAAGAUAUGCAUUUAUCAAAUUUUCUAAUGCUGAAGAUGCGAUACAAGCAUAUAAAGAAAAAUAUAAUUUGGUGAUAGACAGCCGAUCAGUCGUGUUAAGAUUUAGGCGUGGUAAAGGAAAUGUAAAUCCACCCGGACAAGUUGAUAAAUUACCAAAUGAGAUGAAUGAAUUUGACUUACAAAGUUUACGGAAAAAAAUUAAGAGAGAACCUAUAGAAGAAAAUAUUGAUGAAUAUGAUCCUCCUCCAAUUAAUGUAUCCAGAGUAGUUAAGCCUGAAAUGAUGGAAGAAGAUGAAUAUGACCAUGAUUCUGUUUAUGAAUCUCAUGUACCCUAUGGAAAUGAUAUUAAUAUUAAAUCCGAGUGUCCAGAUUAUGAUGACGAGUAUGACGAACAAUUUUAUGAAGAUGAAGAUUCACAAAGUGCAACUUAUCAUUUCCGAAAAAAUGAAACUGUCAGUAUGGACGUAGUGCUUGCUGACAAUAAUAGUGCUCAGUGCAUUCAAACCACUAACAGUGACGAUAUCACAAUACCUACUGGAGUUGAGGAUGAAGAUAAACGAUGGAAUGAAAAACCAGAUGACGAAGAUGAAUUUGAAAUGCCAUAUGCAUUUGUAUCAAAACAACAAAUACUAACAGAAAAUAAUAAAGACAUCACUUUGCCUACAACUGAUGAAAUCCAUGAUGAUGGAAGUGACAGGGAAGACCAAAGAUGGAACAAUUCUUCAGAUGAUGACAAUGAUGAUGGUAGUGCUGAAUACAAUUGGAAAGGAAUAAAUGAGCAAAACAAAUCUGAGAAACAAACUAAAGUCUUGUUCACUCGAUGUGGCCAAAAGGGUAUUUAGGUUUGUAUCGGCCCGGUAUUGGGGCAUGUCAAGACGCAAAACUGAUGCACGUGUACUGAAGAGACAGAAGGAACGUUGAUCGCAAGCUGCAAAUCAGACCUCAAAUGAAUUGAAUUCACAACACUUCAUCUAUUCUAUUUUCCAAAUUGUACUAUUGAACUCAAUCUAUAUUAAGGACCCCUUCUGACAUUCCUCUGCAUGGCAUAUAUUUUAAAUGUUUUAAUCCUAUAUAUUAUCAUAGUUAAUCAAUAUUAUAACUUGUUGUUAAAGCCGUAUGUAUUAAUCGGUGAAUAUAGUCUUAGUAGGUAAUUAUCUUUCUGUACAAGGUGUUUCUCUAAAUAUCAUCGUACUUUUUUGAUUGGCCGCUGGUAUGGAAUUCGUAUGAUUGGAUGAAUAAAACGUCCUCGUCUCAGUUCUUGUUUUGGCCAAUUGAGCAAAGUGCUUAAAAUUUUCGAGGUAGCCCUUAUCAACUAUUUAUAUAUAAGUGUAGAAUAGUUAAAUUUCCUCUUGUAAUUUUAGUAUAGUAUAUUGUGUUUACUGCUCUUUGUUCUACAAUAAUUAUACUUAUAUAGUCAAUAUUAUAUAAUUACACACAUCACAUAUAAUAUAUAUUAUACCAUAAACUAGUUCCUUUAUAUUCAAUGUUACAAAUACACAUACAUUUUAUCAUGUAUUGUCAUAUUUUCUUCUUUAUAGUGAUGUACUUUCAACAUAAUUUAUAAUUUAAAUUAUGUAAAUAGAAGAAAAAAGUUGUACUUGUAUGUUGGAUAUACAUGAUUAAUGUUUGUUAUUUGUUUAUAAUGUGUUGUGAAGUUAAUUUUUUUUUAAUAUAAUAUUAUAAACAUAUGAUGUACAAAAAAGAACUAUCCUUGUUGUAAGAUUUUUUAUGAAAGUCAUCAAAAGUGGAGAUUUUACUGAAUAUUAAACUUGUGUAUUGACUGUCAUGGCAUAUUUUAUAGAAAAUAUUUUGGUAAAAAUAGAAUAUUUUUUUUUUUUUUUUUUUUUUUGUACCAAUAAGUCUGUGCUCAUUAUUAUCGUAUUGUAUUUACAUUAUUAUUGUUUAAAUAGAUAUAAGCUUACAGUUCUUUUGACUUUGCAUUAUUGAAAAAGUAUAAAAAUUAUGAUUACAAUUAUUGUUCAUGCUAUGACAAAUAUAUCGGGUAACUUAUGAGUAUUUAUAUUGUAUAGCUUGCUUUAAAAUUAAGAUUUAUAUAUUUAAAUAGUUUACAUUAACAUAUAUUGUAAUUAAAAUCAAAAGGGUUUUAAUUUACAUAAUAAAAUACUAUAAAUAUUUAAAUAUAUAAAUAAACUAUAAAAUCUUUAGUUUUUAUAAGUUAUAUAAAUAAGACUUUUUUAGACAAAAACUUAUAUAAUUAUUACUUAAUAACUGUAUUAAAUUUAAGUUUGCAUGUAACAUCAUUAUAUAUUUUGAUUGGCCAAUGUCUGACUAUGUGUUAGCUCAUCUUUCUAAUUGUAUUAACUUAUCAGGAAUUGAAAUUUAAAGAAGCUACUAUUACUCAUUGUGUAUUUUGAAGUUAAAUAAACCUAUAAAUUUGAGCAAGAUAAUUUGUUUCUAAUUCUAGGCAUUAAAAUGUUGUACUAAACUUCAUGCAGUAUUGUUGCUAUUUUCACAUGGGUUUUUUCAAUGCAAAUUUCUUAAAUUUUUAUUAUUUCAUUAUAAUUACUUACUUACUAUUAUUUUGAUAAUUUAUUGUAAUUUAAAAUAUUUAUCUGAUAUAUUUUAUUCAUUAAUAUUAUUUUAUAUGUAAGUACCUAUAUUAUUUAAAAUGUUAAUUUUUAAGUAUUUUUGCCUACAAAUGCUUCAAAUUCUGAUAUUUCUAGUUAUUAAGUAUACUUAAAAACCAUAAUUACAUAUGCUUAAAUUGUAUAUGUCUUUUAACGACUGUUUUAUGUUAUACAUGUAAUAAGGAGAGUAGUUACUGAAUUAUUGAGUUACUUUAUGUAUUCUAAUUUGGUUUGUAUAUUUAAAUGCUAUGCUGUAAAUUGGUUUAAGUUUAAAACCUAAUGGUUACAAAUUAAAUAGUAUGAAAAAAAAAUAUCAGAAUUUGAAUAAAUUUAUAGUUAAUGCAUUAAAAUUAGGUAAGCAUACUUAAAAAUAACUCUUUAGUCUGUAUAAUGUAUAUGAAACAAAUUUAAAAUUUCACAAAAUAUUUUACUCUUUAUAAAAAAAAAUAUAUAUAUAUAUAUAUGUCUUGUCUUAUGUGUUUCUAUUUUGAUGUUCUAAUGUAAUACAUUUAUAUUAUAUUUUUUAUUAUUUUUUAUCUAUUGCGACACGGGACAUUUAUACAUUUUUUUUUUUGUUGAAUUGUUAUACUUAUAACUCAAUGUUCAGGAGACUUUUACAUCGGUUUCCAUUAUUUAGUACUGAUGAAUUUGUACUUUGUUCGAUAAUAAUUUAUGUUAAUAUCUAAGUUUUCAUAAGAAUAAACUACAUUUGUAGAUUUGUGAAUAA